AUGAACGCUGGCGGCGUGCUUCACCCCUGCAAGUCGAACGGAAAGGCUCCUGCUUGCAGGGGUACUCGAGUGGCGAACGGGUGAGUAACACGUGGGUGAUCUGCCCUGCACUUCGGGAUAAGCCUGGGAAACUGGGUCUAAUACCGGAUAGGACGAUGGUUUGGAUGCCAUUGUGGAAAGUUUUUCGGUGUGGGAUGAGCUCGCGGCCUAUCAGCUUGUUGGUGGGGUAAUGGCCUACCAAGGCGUCGACGGGUAGCCGGCCUGAGAGGGUGUACGGCCACAUUGGGACUGAGAUACGGCCCAGACUCCUACGGGAGGCAGCAGUGGGGAAUAUUGCACAAUGGGCGCAAGCCUGAUGCAGCGACGCCGCGUGGGGGAUGACGGCCUUCGGGUUGUAAACUCCUUUCGCUAGGGACGAAGCGCAAGUGACGGUACCUGGAGAAGAAGCACCGGCUAACUACGUG
rnacentral:rRNA from 1 species